AGGUUUUGGGGUACUGGCUGUGGGGAUCGAACCGAUGCCCUUUGCACAGAAGGCACAAGCAUGUAUCACAACACCACCGGUGCAAAUUGAUUGCCUCAAAAGAAUGUCAUCAACAAUGUUGCCCGCGUGUGUAGCCGUCCGCCGAGUGAAAGAAUCUUGAAAUGCACGCAUCGGGGCAAGAGACGGUCCAAUGCUGUGGUGUCAACUCCCACAAUCUGCGCAACCCUUCCAGGUUUGCUUUGUACUUUCGCGUCGUACGCUUCGCAGGCCCGUUUGCUUACUUGUGCAUGGAGGCAGCUUGGUGAGUCAAAACCAACUUUUUGCGGAGGAAAAAUAAACUGUCAGGAAUUUUUUCUUGAGAGGAAACCUUUAGUUUACUAUAUGACAUGUUGCUUAAUAGUGCUAAAGUGUUCAGCGUUCUUUAAAUAAACAAUGUGGACUUUUGCGUAGUGGGGGCAUGAAAAAAUGCAGGAGCCUCGCCGUCCCCGCUCCCCCCCACACAUGUCAGCAAUUUGGCCGCCUUGUGUAUUUUGGAAGUUGGGGUGGGGUGGGGGGUUGGGGAGGUGGAGGAACAUUUCAAAGUAAACGAAAGAAGGAAAGUCUUAUCCGCCUGGCAGCUGCGCUCGGGACCAAAUUGCUUUCAGCUGAUGCGCUGCAUCUCAAACUUGCUUGGGUAAUGUCAAGUGAUGCAUUGCAAUGCUGAGAAAACAACACAGGCAAAAAAAUAAGUCAAUAAAUAAAUAGGAAGGAGCAGAAAUGAACAUCAAGUAACACAGAAACGCGCAAGACAAAUUCGCGCUCUCUUCUUUUAUAAAUGACCGGUCGUGCUGAUCAUUGAUCAUUUCGAAUUUACUUUUCCCGAGCCGCGUUGAAAGUUACAUCGCAGAUGUUGCUUCCCCCGUUGUGUACGCGCGCCGUCCCCCAACAUAUUACACUGAGUACCUCAUUUCAUCGCAUCAUGUCCGGUCAGGUGUAGGAUGACACCGAGCGAGGCGGUGGUGUGCAUUUUUUUUUUUUUUAGUCAUCGCAAACAAAUCGAAGCUUAGUGUUGAUUUAAAUUCAAUUAAAUGGUCAUUUGGGUGGUGGUAGUCUGUGUGAGUCCUUAUAUCACGUCAUUCAAUGAUUAUUAUUAUUUUUUUGCGGCACACAAAAGCAUUGGUAUGAAAGCUGUCUCUCAAUUUCAUGAUGGUAAAAAAGUCAAAUUAAAAAAAAUGCAUGCAUAGAUACUUGUGGGGAAGGAUGUACUGUAGCGGGGUAUACAGUAGCAAUCGUGACGGCGUAGCAUUUUUUUUAUUUUUUGCAGCGCGCUAAGGCCGUUCUUUCCAACCUGGGCAGACUUGUGUUGAGAGAUGAUCCAAUUUCACUUAAUUUUGUGAGGAGAUUAUUAUUUAUGAUUACAGAUGUAUUGGUUCAUAUAUGCCAGAGUCACAAGAUGCGCGAUUAAGUUCCAGGGGGACCUUUGGAGCCACCUGUUGCCAUCCAGAACAGAAUAAGUCACAUCAUCCUGUCUGUGUAUCAGCUUUAAGAUAAAGAUAUCCUUUAUUCGUCCCACACUGGGGAAAUUUGUGUUCCUUUUUUUUUUCAGCAUUCAUUAUGGUUCCUACAGUGGGCAGCUUAUCAUGUUUGCAGGUUAAACGCUGAAAGGGUUCAACUGAACGCGCACGUCUUAUUCUUUGCUGUGUCAUGAAACCCCUUUGCCAAGAUGGCUGCCGCGAAUUUCUACCCAGUGCCAGUCUAUUGAGAGUCGAUACGUUUCUUCUCAGUGCGAGGUAUUAAGUCACUCGUCUGCAUCGAUUUCCCUCCCUGCAGUCUGUUUACAGUAGAAUCCUCCUCACAAUCGUGAGAUCUUGGGAGAGGGUGAUCCCCCACCCCCCUGACAACCCCCCCCCACCCUUGCUUUUUGUAGCCGUCAAUUCACAACACGAAAGGAACUCUCUGGCUUCCAUGCCCGUGUUUACUGCUCGGGCCGUGCGAGCAGGCCCCAGAGCCCAAAGGCAAGUCAUGUUCUCAAGGAAAAGAGCAACUCUCCACAGGGCCCCGAUAUCAAAAUAGUUUAAAAUGUGAAUUGCCUGAUCGUUCCCAGUGAGCGGCAGAGCCCCGGCCAAACACUUCCAGAUCACCCUGCUAGCGGAAAGUAAACAGAGCCGCGGGCCCGCUGCAAGACAGCAGCGUGGCGACCGGCGCGUUGGACUUUUUACUGCCACGCUUCACGAGCUACACGUCUGAGCUCAGCCGAGGUUCCACAAAACACGAUUCAUUUCAUCUUUUCUUUUUUUUUCUUUCUACUUUUCGGCAAUGUUUUUGUUUUUAGCCUGUUAAUUUAUCUACUCCAAAAUCAAGUUUUGACGCUGCCGUUCUAUUUCCCACAUUCGGAACAGAUGUGACACCAAACUGCACGAAAACAAGUACAAUAACUCUGUAACUUGACUUAUUUAUAUAUAUUUUUUGCAUGAAUGCUGACAGACAAUCAGUCGCACUAUUGUCAUUAUCAGAUAAGAGAAUAUGCUUGGGGAAAUUGGACUGAAGCAGCGCAAAAGAAUCACAUCAAAGCAUCCAAAAUAUCUAUUGACGUUUUUAUGACAAUGGGUCAUAAAAGACCAGCAGCGUAUGUGGCAACCGUGCAUUGAUACUAAUGCAGAAGUGAAUGUGU